rnacentral:lncRNA from 1 species
AAAAUUAAUUCUCUGUCUUCAUGGUCAUUUAAUUUUGAUACGUGUUUUAACAGUUUAAAAGUUUGGAAGUUUUGUAAAUCACCAUUCAGUAAUAACAGAAGCUUUGAAUGUUCAAUAUUUUCGUUUUGGCUGCAUUGUGUUCACUAUGAUUCUGGAUUUAGAAUGCACAGAGUAAUCUGCAGGUGCAGUUUGUAUCCCAACAUCUCAUAUUGUAAAGAGUUGUAGUUGAGGUUUGUAAACUUUGGUCUUUUACUGCUUCAGGCUGAAAACCUGUUGAAACGUACAUGUAAGAUCGCAGGUGGCUGAGAAGUACUACAGUUGAUAUUUAGACCGAUUGAGUUUUGUUAGAUUUUUGCAAAUAACAGUAGCAGGAUAAAAGAAAUGCAUUGGGGUCAUUAGAUCUAACACGCAGGUGUGAGCACCAAUGAAAUAAACCAGAACUAUAUAGGGGGAAAUAGCGGAUUGGACUCGACCUUGAUUUUUGGCUUUUACAAAAAAAAAAAUUUUUUUUGGCUUUUGCAGUGUUGUUUUAAGCUUCCUUAGUACAUUUGUUUUUCACUCAUACUGUGUCAUUCUUCAAUUGUAUAUUUUGUAAACUUAAAACAAAUGAAAUAGUUCGAUGAAGUUCACUAUUGACAGAUAAUUUUGAGUUGUUAUAUCAUUUGCGGUGAAAAAUACAAAGAGUUAUUGUUCGGUAAAUAUGUAAGUCGUCAUUAUUAAGAUAUCGAUCGAAGACUACCACUUUAUGCAUAGUGAAUAUCGUUUAUCAUCAAAAUUUUAAUCCUAUGAAAUGAUUUCGAUUUACAUCGUUUUCGUGCCUGUUCUCUGUGGGGAGAUAUUAAUGUUGUCGCGAUUUAACCUUAUAGAAAGACGAAGAAUUUGAUGUCGUGUAAUUACAAGAUCGAAAUUUUUUUUUUUUAUGGAGAUUUCGUUCUUAGAUUCAGUUCGCAGAUUAAAAACGAAGGAAAAAAAAACUGAUUUUUUUUUUAACUUGAGGAAAAAAGAUAUAAAGAUACUUUACUGCUGCAUUACUCAGUAUCUGCGGUUGAAUUCUAUUUCGAAAAGUGCUCUUCAUUGUUAGGAGCGUAUUCGGAAAAUCGUUUCUUACUACGAAUACUCUUUUAUAGUUGUUUGAAUGCAUCUUUUGUCACGGUUUCGUUUAUUUCGAGUUUGAUCGUUUUUCGAUGAAUUAAAAUAUCGUUUUAACUUAAAAUGUACAUAGUCGAAUUAGAAAGUUAAUUGUUUUUGUUGUUAUAUGUUUUAUUAAUUAGAAAAACAACAGUAGUCCCGUAAUCUCAUAUAGUGCAAUUGUUAUUUAGAGUACAAGUAUUCUGUUACCUGUCGACGUUUGUAACAUAUGUUCCUUGUAGCCAUGUGUUUCAUGUGGUUAGUAUAACGCAGGUGCGUUUUGGUUAGAACACGACGACAGGCUAACUUUGCUACUGUUCGGCCAUCUACCCACCCUGAGGUGACGAAUUUUUUUUGCCCCAUCGAACUGGUUGGUGUUGUUGAUCCCAUGCCGUUGAAUAUUAACGGGUUUUGUUUCUUAGCAAAAUUUUCAAUGCCGCGAUGACCUACCUAGCCUGAACGACAUUUAUUUAAAAAAUUGUCCGAUUGCCAGCUGGACUUUUACCUCUACCCGAGUUCUGGUCAUUAUCGCAAAACUAUAUUCUCUAAAAUAGAUGAUUAAAUUUUAAUUAUUUCAUAUAAAUGAUUAUAAAAUAUGAGAAAAAAUUAAAAAAAAAUUGUUUAUGAUGUUUUAAAAAGAUAAAAAAAUAUACAUACAUAGUUUAUUUUAAAUACUUGUUAAUUAUAAGAAAUUAUAAAAUCGGUUUUAAGUACGGAAGAAAUUAGUAAAAUUUGUAAUAAAUAACUUUAUAAUUUUCUCAUCAUAUUUAUAAUAAUUAAAAAUUGCGAUGGAGGAUAUAUAUCAUGUUGUGUUGAUGCGAAUUAGAUUGUAGCUAGAAGUUAUAUAAUCGAUUUAAUUGUAUAAAAUAAUCGAAACCAUUUAGUAAAUUUAAUCAUCGUUUCGCCAUAAUUAUUCAAGUGUGUUAGUUGACUUGCCACCUUUGAUAAAAAUUGCCGUUUAACAACUUUGGAGACAUACCAAAGAAGUUAGGCUGGCGACCUCCAUCCGGAUGACUCCACCUGACUCUCACCUUGACGUCAACGACACUGUCGGUAUUAAAUGUGGCCAUAUUGCAGAAUCCUUUCGACCAGUGGCCAGGUGCAUGCUAGCAACACCACCUGUUUGGCUAAAGGGGAGCAGCUGGAAGCUGCUGCCAAUGCCUAAGGGGGUUGUAUACACUUCCUGCGUUGGCUACCCGACCUACCUGGUUGGUUUUUUUACCUCACUGUUUUUUUUUAUCCGUUCAAGUUUUUUUCUUGUUCUUCGGGUUUGCAUUCUGUGAGCUAGGCCGAGCUGUUGUCUGCAUAUCUAUUUCUUUCCACGAAUCAAAGUGAUUGGUUUUUAAAAUAAAAUAUAUUUGAACAAAGUUUAAUGCUUCGAAUAAUUGUACAGUG